AGUGAACGCUGGCGGUAGGCCUAACACAUGCAAGUCGAACGGCAGCACAGUAAGAGCUUGCUCUUACGGGUGGCGAGUGGCGGACGGAUGAGGAAUACAUCGGAAUCUACUUUUUCGUGGGGGAUAACGUAGGGAAACUUACGCUAAUACCGCAUACGACCUACGGGUGAAAGCAGGGGAUCUUCGGACCUUGCGCGAUUGAAUGAGCCGAUGUCGGAUUAGCUAGUUGGCGGGGUAAAGGCCCACCAAGGCGACGAUCCGCAGCUGGUCUGAGAGGAUGAUCAGCCACACUGGAACUGAGACACGGUCCAGACUCCUACGGGAGGCAGCAGUGGGGAAUAUUGGACAAUGGGCGCAAGCCUGAUCCAGCCAUACCGCGUGGGUGAAGAAGGCCUUCGGGUUGUAAAGCCCUUUUGUUGGGAAAGAAAAGCAGCAGGUUAAUACCCCGCUGUUCUGACGGUACCCAAAGAAUAAGCACCGGCUAACUUCGUG
rnacentral:rRNA from 1 species